ensembl:lncRNA
AACUUAAGGGCUGACUGCCACUGGGGAAGGAUCUUUUCCUGGAGAUUGCUCCUUUUGGAGUUUUUUCUGCAAGCCUAUAACACAGGCAUCUCCUACUUCUUCUUAAACUUCAGCAUCCUUUGACUUUCAGAACAGAAAUGACCUGCAGUGAAUGUUGAUUAUGGUACUGAGUACAAAAUAAGAAGUGAAUCAAAUAAGUUGCAGACUUUAGAGAAGAAGAAAGCAGUAAUUUCAAAUAGAUAAAGGUGUUCUGCUUCCAUUGCCACAUUUGAAGAAAGCAUGGAAAAGUUGAUUGAACAAGAAAUGUCCAAAGAAGCUAUACAGAUUACAAAGAUUUGUUCAGAGACUGAAGAAUAUCCCAGUCUAUGUAAUGGAAGAAGUUACUACACUAGCCUCCUAAAUUAUUACUUAUAAUAAAGUGAAACAACUGAUAGGCACUAGUUAGAAUCUGAGUGAUAAAAAAUUGCACAACAUAAACAGAGAUAGGCAGUUGUCUACAAGUGUCUCCUGCAAGAGGCAAAAGAGAGAUCCCUCUGCGUACAGCUAAGCAGAUGAGUCCUGCAGCCUCAGAGUUUCAAUUUUAUCUAUCCAUGCACAGGGUGGGAGAGGCAGGAACACUUUUUCCUCAGCAUAGUUUUCUGGACUCUGUGCUGAUCCUGACCUUAGAAAGAGAAGGAAGCUGAUCCAUCUUCAUUUCAUUUAAAAGCAGCUCCAUCUUCAUGUCACCCAAGAUACGAAGAAAGAUGUGUAGGAAACAUGUCAGUAGCAAGAACACAGGAAAGAGUGUUUGCCCUACAGUGGAAGCACCAAGCUGUAGCCAGAGGCUGUUGCAUCAGGGAAGGCAGAGGUAUCUGCAAAUAUGGGGAGGCUCUUAUCCCACAGAGGAAAAGAAAAAACAAAGAGGAAGGUCCUUGCCUUCAUUCCAGACCCUCUGAAAUCCCUUGGAAUAAGCCUCAAUAUUCUUUCAUUGAGGUAUCACAGGACUCAUUAAUAUCUUGUUUGCUCCCCAACUCAUUUUAGUAUUGUUCCAAUCAGCUUUCUCCAGUCCAAGAGAUAAUCCAAUCCAGGGAGUCCUCCUAAGUAGUUUGACUCAAUUGUGCAAUACUAUCUCAGUAGGUUUUGCAUCCUUAGGAAACCCUACAAGCCUUUCUCCAAAUAGAGAUCUCUGUCUUGAAUCUGUUUCACACAAAUAUUUGUCUAUUUUGACAGAAUUACUGAAAAGGCAAAACAAAUCUAAAGCAAAAGAAUAGUUCUUUUCUAACAUUGUUCCCAGGAUCUUUUUGUUUGUUUGUUUUCUAUUUCCUAGAUUUCUCUUGUUAAAAAAUCAGGAUUUUGGAACCCGACUCAAUAAAUCAUGUAACCGCAUGCUUAGGAACAUGAAUACCUGUGUUGAAAUCAGUGCUUGUAUUCUGAAGAGUAAGUCUGAAGUAUCACCUGGAAUCACUCUUUUGCUGUUGUUGUUGUUGUUACUUCUUGCUAAUAGUGUUGCAACUAAAUUGUUGUAACCUUAGAAAGUCCUGUUUGAGGAAUUUAACCCAUAAAGCAGAUUUUAUUGAAUGAGUGUUUUUAGCAAAUUCACAUUUCUCAACAAUAAAUUUAUAAUUU